rnacentral:misc_RNA from 1 species
AAGUCGUAACAAGGUUUCCGUAGGUGAACCUGCGGAAGGAUCAUUAAAGAAUACCUGGACUCCGGUCCUCGUCGAGAAAGGUCGUCCCGGGUGGCCUCCAGGUCCCCGGGGCUUCCCCCUCUUACCCUCUCGUUUACUCUUACCUCUGCUUGCUUUGGCAUGCAGCUCCUGCCCGGGUCGGGUUCCGGGCUUGGGCCGUCUGGCCGGAGGGCCCCGAACGCUACGUGGAUAGUCUAUGUUUGUCUGAGUACGAUAUAAUCGUUUACAA